UGGAGCAGGAGUUGGGGGAAAGACAGGAGUGGACACUGAACUUCAGCACCUUCAGGCUGACAGGUCCAUCUCUGCAGAAGAUCAAGGCUUGAAGAAGCUCUUCACCCAUCAGCCAUCUUCUUCUUCUAACCGAGCUCCAAGAGCUCUUUUUUCAGGGCUAUAGUGGCUAUAAUACGUGGAGGAAACAGUCUGUGCCUGGAAAGGCAGGAACCAUAUGGAGGCUCUUUUCUGUGUGUCUCCAUUUAAACAACAGUCAGCACACGUCAACACAACAGGUGAGCGCCCGUCACCCCACAUCCCAUCCCUGAACCACAGGACACGGACAUCCACAUGCCUAGCAAACAGCAAGAGAGAGGGACCAGAGCCUGCAUCCUGAACAGCUGAGCUGAAACCUUUAAACAAACCUGUGAACAAAAAAAUAAACCUCUUCGAUGGAAUGACCGAAAACGUUGACUGUCAAAAAGCAGAGCUUACACAUGCCGUCCUG